rnacentral:rRNA from 1 species
UACGGGGGGGGGCAAGCGUUGUUCGGAAUUACUGGGCGUAAAGGGCGCGUAGGCGGUCCGCUAAGUUAGAUGUGAAAACUCUGGGCUCAACCCAGAGCCUGCAUCUAAUACUGACGGGCUAGAGUUCUGGAGGGGGUAGCGGAAUUCCUGGUGUAGCGGUGAAAUGCGUAGAUAUCAGGAGGAACACCGAUGGCGAAGGCAGGUCUCUGGGCCACUACUGACGCUGAGAAGCGAAAGCAUGGGGAGCGAACAGG